ACAAUGGGGGAAACCCUGAUGCAGCGACGCCGCGUGGAGGAAGAAGGUCUUCGGAUUGUAAACUCCUGUUGUUGAGGAAGAUAAUGACGGUACUCAACAAGGAAGUGACGGCUAACUACGUGCCAGCAGCCGCGGUAAAACGUAGGUCACAAGCGUUGUCCGGAAUUACUGGGUGUAAAGGGAGCGCAGGCGGGAAGACAAGUUGGAAGUGAAAUCCAUGGGCUCAACCCAUGAACUGCUUUCAAAACUGUUUUUCUUGAGUAGUGCAGAGGUAGGCGGAAUUCCCGGUGUAGCGGUGGAAUGCGUAGAUAUCGGGAGGAACACCAGUGGCGAAGGCGGCCUACUGGGCACCAACUGACGCUGAGGCUCGAAAGUGUGGGUAGCAAACAGGAUUAGAUACCCUGGUAGUCCACACCGUAAACGAUGAUUACUAGGUGUUGGAGGAUUGACCCCUUCAGUGCCGCAGUUAACACAAUAAGUAAUCCACCUGGGGAGUACGACCGCAAGGUUGAAACUCAAAGGAAUUGACGGGGGCCCGCACAAGCAGUGGAGUAUGUGGUUUAAUUCGACGCAACGCGAAGAACCUUACCAAGUCUUGACAUCCCUUGACAGGCAUAGAAAUAUGUUUUCUCUUCGGAGCAAGGAGACAGGUGGUGCAUGGUUGUCGUCAGCUCGUGUCGUGAGAUGUUGGGUUAAGUCCCGCAACGAGCGCAACCCUUAUGGUCAGUUACUACGCAAGAGGACUCUGGCCAGACUGCCGUUGACAAAACGGAGGAAGGUGGGGAUGACGUCAAAUCAUCAUGCCCUUUAUGACUUGGGCUACACACGUACUACAAUGGCGUUAAACAAAGAGAAGCAAGACCGCGAGGUGGAGCAAAACUCAAAAACAACGUCUCAGUUCAGAUUGCAGGCUGCAACUCGCCUGCAUGAAGUCGGAAUUGCUAGUAAUCGCGGAUCAGCAUGCCGCGGUGAAUACGUUCCCGGGCCUUGUACACACCGCCCGUCACACCAUGAGAGCCGGGGGGACCCGAAGUCGGUAGUCUAACCGCAAGGAGGACGCCGCCGAAGGUAAAACUGGUGAUUGGGGUGAAGUCGUAACAAGGUAGCCGUAGGAGAACCUGCGGCUG
rnacentral:rRNA from 1 species